rnacentral:tRNA from 1 species
AAGCUAUUUAAUUUCAAUUUGAA